rnacentral:lncRNA from 1 species
CUGCUGUGCCUUACCCUAAUCUGCUAAUUGGAAUGGAUUACGGAAAGAAAAAAGUAUAAAGAGAAAAAUGAAACAACAGAAGGAAAGGUGCAAAUCGAGAAACUGGAAGGCUUAUCUGGCACAAUCACAUGGAUCUACCGUAAGAGCUUGAUCAGCCGUUCUGAUGUCUGCACACACUGGGAACAGAUAGGGUGUUAACAUUUCCUGGAACAAUGCUUUACCAAUGGGCAGGAACUAGUAGGUAAGUAUUCUCUUUUUUCCAGUCUCAGAGAUUUCUAAGGCAC